CUCGCUUAAUCUUUGUGCUUCCGCUGCUCCUCAUCGCAUCACGACGGCCCACAGCGGUGCCGUCGUUCAUUUUGGUUGUUUCCCGAUCGCCACGCACACAACGCUUGCGCACGAAGAGAGGGAGGAGCACACACAUCCAGGCAGAGAACGAACAGAACGCCUCAAGGGUGUGCAAGGCGGCGAGCGCUGUGACGAAGACGCGAUUGAACUCGCUCAUAGCAGCACUCGCCCUCGGUCUCUUGGUUGACCAGCCCGUGGCGCGCUGAUUGACCAUUGCACACACACACACACACAUACACAUACAUCCAUAGAACGCCGUACAGAAGCUGAAACAUCCGCGUACCAACGCACCCACACGCCGACAUCACAUCCCUCGGCUUGUGCAGGGCCGUUUCCAGGACACAGAACACAAAGUGAACCGAGCGCCAGUGUACACGGCCGGCAGUUUUCCGCUACAGAAGCGGCUGCGCGCCGUGAGAAAGAGAGAGAGAGAGAUGCUGAAUAUUACAUGUAUCGGCACUGUGGUGCACACCUCGACCCACCAUGGCGCGAUGUUUGGAAAGCCGGUCAUAUACCCGGACGGCUACACGAUGGAGCGCGCCGUCUUCUCGUCAUCACAACAGCCCGCAGGGCAAGCGCCGAAGCCCACUUUCACCUACAAGGCGCCGUCCGCCACCUCGGCGGCAGCUUUGAGGGAUGAGCCGUACUUCACGGCAACCAUCCGCUGGGUAAAGGGGCAGCCCACCUUCACUAUUACGCGCAGCGACAACCCCACCGACAAGACAUACACGGACAGCAAGUCCGCCACGACCGCCUGGCGCAAAGCGCUUGAGGAUGCCAUAAAGGACUUCCCUGGCCGGCAAGCCCAGCUGCCAGUGCCAGCUGACUCCAAGUCGAAGUUGCAGGUGAACGGCAUUCGGCUGUAUGGCCUGCACUUGAAAGAUGUCCACGACGAGCUGUUAGCGUUGCCAGGAGGCCAGGCUGCUUUCGACGCUGCCGCUGCUUCUUCUGCUGCAGCACUGGCGACCUCGACCGUAACAGCUGUCGCGGCGGAACUGGACGCACGCAGCACGAGUCUUCUCUCCUCUCACGGGUCCCAGUCCCAAUCCCAGUCCCAAUCCCAGUCCCAGGCAAAGACGCAGCGCCGCCACACCAACUCGCCAACGCCGAAGAGCUCCGCCAAGCCACCCGCCGAGGCACACAGCAACGCACGCUCGAGCAAGAGACGCGCUACUUCCAGCCGUCGCGCUUCGGUGGACAAGGAUGUAUCACCGGCGGCAUCCACGGCGGGUGUGAGCGCCACAGUCAUCAUUGGCAGUCACCCCUUGACGGAUGGAGCGGCGAUAAUCCCAGAGAAGAGGCGGCGGACGCGCAGGCCGAAAGGCCUCGACGAGGCUACCGCCACGCCAGAGUCUGUCGCCGCGAUCGAUGGAGAGGCAGCGGCAAUCAUGGCUGCUGCCUCGGUAAAGCGGCGGCGCACGUCCAGCAAGAAAAGUUCAGAGACCGCGCGUACACGGGCGGUGGCGCCAGCACCGGUGACCGUUACUGUGGUGUGCCCGGACUGCGGUUCGGGUGACACGCCGUUCUGCGCCACGACAGGAAAGCCGCACUUGCCUCCGCCGUGCAUCAGCUGCGGACUCACAACAGCAUUCUGCCCGGUGACCGGCCAGCCGCACGCUGGGGCGGUGCAACGCGAGAACCGCCAGCGAGGAGAGGUUCACCUGCCCGGUGCAGCUCGCAAGCCUCGGCGACGUGUGUCAAAGCAGCCCCCAGGGGCCCACGCAGCGGCAGGCGCAGACGGUGAGGUGACGGCGGUGACCGUGACCGGGACAGAAGACGAUGACGGCAGCGCUGUCGACGCAGGGAAAGGGGCGGUGGCUGCCAGGAAGCCCCGUAGGAAGCGUCCGCGUCUUGAGGAUGAAGCUAAACAGGCAUCUGGGGAUGGCGCCGAUGCGUCCGCCGUCGUGCCGACGGCGCAGCCUGCUCGCGCUCGUCGCGUACGGAAGACGAAGGACGGGGCCGCUGCCGCAGCGCCGUCCUCGGAGUCAUUCGCGGAGGGCACCAAGGCCAUCAGGAGUGACGCCGCCGUUGCUUCUCCUGCCGCAGUGGUAGUGGAAGCGCCACCUGCUCCGGCCGAGGAGCCGGCGUACACGUACCCGCCGCUGCGCCCCCCGCUCACCCUUCGCGAGCACCACAAGGCGGCCCACCUACUGCAAGAGAGCUGGAAGGUGCAGUACGGAGAUGGACCAGUGCUGCCGGCGGCGGUGGCGGCGGUGCCGCUCGCGCUCGUGCCGGCAAAGCGCGUGGUAGCGGCCGGAGCGAAUCGCCGGCGAAAGGGCCACGGUGGGGCUGCGGGUGGCGGUGCUGGCGGCGAAGAGGGUAAGCAAUCCGACGACAACGAGGACGGAGGGGAGGAAGAGACCGGUGGUGCGCGCGCGAAGGACGGGGACGACGACGGCGAUGUCAACAUUGACAGGGACACUGCAAAGAGCGGACUUAGCAGCGCCGUUGGCAGUCCGACAUCAACGGCCGUGGCUGCUGUGGCGGUUCCACGGAUGGUGCACCCUCUGGAGGUGACGCAGCUAUCCACCAGCGUUGCCGGGAAGCGGCUUUCGCGGUUCCUGGUCCAGUACACGAGCGAACGCACUUUCUUGGACUUGCUGAAGAACGCCUCGUCCGCGGCGGACGGCAGUGUGGGAAGGAAAACAUCUAAGCGGCCAGCGCAGCAGACGGCGGCUGGUGGCGACACCGGUGCCGGAGGUGAGGGGGACGGGGGAGCGCACACGAUAGCGGACGAUGGCGAUGGAAAGCAUCGUGUGGAAGCGUCAGGAGCAUCGCCAGCAGAGGUACAGCAAGAGUCAGUCAUGCGCGAGGGGGGCGCUGUCGACGGCGCAGUGCCACCCACCGCCACCGCAUCCUCGUGAACGAGGUGUGUAAUAAAGUGCACCGUGCUAGCGGUAGUGGCGAUGGUGGCAUACCUGCCGUCUUCGCCCCUUUGCUUACCCUUUGGCGUCUACACCGAAAAGGCGCGUGCGUAUAUGCAGACACGAUAAGGACGCGCUGGAUGCCCUGUGUCGUGCUAUCCACGGUCUCUCAGCUGCUGUCCGCGUCUGCAAUGUCUGCUAGAAACCAUCGCUGCUGGAGUGGAUGCGUCGUCUCACUGGGCAAGCUACGCGAGCCCCGGGUGGCACGGUGCCGCCGCCGUUCGAGUACCCCUACGGCGCAGUGGCGGUGGUGGUGCAGCAUUGGUGCUAUCUGGAGGACUACGUCUACGAGCGGUAUCGGUGAGUGGAUCGUGGUGCAGAGGUCGAAAGCGCCAGGUCAGAGGCCGGUUCUGCGGUCUCCAAUAACGCGAGCAGCGAUGUGGCUCACGCCAGCACCCGCGAAGCCGUGCAGGCGGCGUCGCUGUGGCCAUCUGUAUCACGGUGCAGCUAGGAGUUUUGGAUAUCUUAUGAAGACGUCCUCGGACGCCAGGGGCUGGACGCCGUCACAAAGCUGUUUCAGCCGCACACACUCGCAAGCGCACGGCGGCAGCGUGGCUGGCGCGGAGGUGGCCUCGUUUCCACUGACUGUCGCCCCAGCACACGGAGCCGCGCUUCCCGCUCCUGAAGCUCGCGGUUGAAGUGUGCGCAACAGGCGAGCCACAUUUUGAAACUGGCUCGCCUUUGGAGCGACCCCUCCUCUGGCAUAAAGGGAGGGGAAGAGGGCGCCAUUGCAUGCGGCCCCUCUCUACCUCGUCCGCUGCGGUUGUGUGGGCACACUUCCGUGAGCACUGUGCUCUCAAGCCAUGACUGAAAUACUUGAAGGAGGGUGACGAAGCCAGAGAGAAAGGGGGAGGGGUGCUGGAAAGAGCUGAAAAUAUGCAUUGCCUGCUCUCCCUCCCUCCCCGUAAGCACGUCUCGAGGGCAGACGCGCACACAUGCGCCUGUAAAUACGUGCGCGAGUGCACUCCCUCACGCCCCUUCCGCCCUCCCGAUGCUUUCCGAAGAUGAACACGUAAG
rnacentral:misc_RNA from 1 species